rnacentral:misc_RNA from 1 species
GAUGAAGAACGUAGCGAAAUGCGAUAAGUAGUGUGAAUUGCAGAAUUCAGUGAAUCAUCGAAUCUUUGAACGCACAUUGCGCCCCUUGGUAUCCCGAGGGGCAUGCCUGUUCGAGCGUCAUUUCACCACUCAAGCCUGGCUUGGUGUUGGGCGACGUCCCCUUUGGGGACGCGCCUCGAAACGCUCGGCGGCGUGGCACCGGCUUUAAGCGUAGCAGAAUCUUUCGCUUUGGAAGACGGGGCCCCGUCUGCCGGAAGACCUACUCGCAAGGUUGACCUCGGAUCAGGCAGGGAUACCCGCUGAACUUAAGCAUAUCAAUAAGCGGAGGA